AUGGCUCAGAUUGAACGCUGGCGGCGUGCCUAACACAUGCAAGUCGAGCGGCAGCGGGCCCGCAAGGGUGCCGGCGAGCGGCGGACGGGUGAGCAAUACAUAGGAAUCUGCCUCAGAGCGGGGGAUAGCCAGGGGAAACCCUGAUUAAUACCGCAUGAUGUCGAGAGACCAAAGUGGGGGACCGUAAGGCCUCACACUCUGAGAUGAGCCUAUGUCGGAUUAGCUAGUUGGCGGGGUAACGGCCCACCAAGGCGACGAUCCGUAGCUGGUCUGAGAGGACGAUCAGCCACACCGGAACUGAGACACGGUCCGGACUCCUACGGGAGGCAGCAGUGGGGAAUAUUGGACAAUGGGCGAAAGCCUGAUCCAGCGACGCCGCGUGGGUGAAGAAGGCCUUCGGGUUGUAAAGCCCUUUAAGCCGGGACGAAAAAGCUACACCUAACACGUGUGGCCUUGACGGUACCGGAAGAAUAAGCACCGGCUAACUCUGUGCCAGCAGCCGCGGUAAUACAGAGGGUGCAAGCGUUAAUCGGAUUUACUGGGCGUAAAGCGUGUGUAGGUGGCCGCGUAAGUCGGUUGUGAAAUCCCUGGGCUCAACCUGGGAAUUGCAGCCGAUACUGCAUGGCUCGAGUUCGGUAGAGGGCGGCGGAAUUCCCGGUGUAGCGGUGAAAUGCGUAGAU
rnacentral:rRNA from 1 species